AUUGAACGCUGGCGGCAUGCCUUACACAUGCAAGUCGAACGGCAGCACGGGAGCAAUCCUGGUGGCGAGUGGUGAACGGGUGAGUAAUAUAUCGGAACGUGCCCAGUCGUGGGGGAUAACGCAGCGAAAGCUGUGCUAAUACCGCAUACGAUCUAUGGAUGAAAGCGGGGGAUCGCAAGAUCUUGCGCGAUUGGAGCGGCAGAUAUCAGAGUAGCUAGUUGGUGAGGUAAAGGCUCACCAAGGCGACGAUCUGUAGCUGGUCUGAGAGGACGACCAGCCACACUGGAACUGAGACACGGUCCAGACUCCUACGGGAGGCAGCAGUGGGGAAUUUUGGACAAUGGGCGAAAGCCUGAUCCAGCAAUGCCGCGUGCAGGAUGAAGGCCUUCGGGUUGUAAACUGCUUUUGUACGGAACGAAACGGUGAGCUCUAAUACAGUUUGCUAAUGACUGUACCGUAAGAAUAAGCACCGGCUAACUACGUGCCAGCCGCCGCAGUAA
rnacentral:rRNA from 1 species